ACCCAAGACAGCUGAAAAGGGGCAGUUGGUAGAGCAUGAGACCCUUAAUCUCAGGAUCAUGGGUUCAAACCCCAUGUUGGGAA